AUUGAACGCUGGCGGCAUGCCUUACACAUGCAAGUCGAACGGUAACAGGUCUUCGGAUGCUGACGAGUGGCGAACGGGUGAGUAAUACAUCGGAACGUGCCCGAUCGUGGGGGAUAACGGAGCGAAAGCUUUGCUAAUACCUCAUACGAUCUACGGAUGAAAGCAGGGGACCGCAAGGCCUUGCGCGGACGGAGCGGCCGAUGGCAGAUUAGGUAGUUGGUGGGAUAAAAGCUUACCAAGCCGACGAUCUGUAGCUGGUCUGAGAGGACGACCAGCCACACUGGGACUGAGACACGGCCCAGACUCCUACGGGAGGCAGCAGUGGGGAAUUUUGGACAAUGGGCGAAAGCCUGAUCCAGCCAUGCCGCGUGCAGGAUGAAGGCCUUCGGGUUGUAAACUGCUUUUGUACGGAACGAAAAGACUCUUUCUAAUAAAGAGGGUCCAUGACGGUACCGUAAGAAUAAGCACCGGCUAACUACGUG
rnacentral:rRNA from 1 species